UGGGGAAUCUUGCACAAUGGGGGCAACCCUGAUGCAGCGACGCCGCGUGAGCGAUGAAGCCCUUCGGGGCGUAAAGCUCUUUCGACCGGAACGAUAAUGACGGUACCGGGAGAAGAAGCUGCGGCUAACUACGUGCCAGCAGCCGCGGUAAUACGUAGGCAGCAAGCGUUGUUCGGAGUUACUGGGCGUAAAGAGUGCGUAGGCGGUUUUCUAAGUUCGGUGUGAAAUCUCCCGGCUUAACUGGGAGGGUGCGCCGAAGACUGGGAAGCUGGAGUGUGGGAAAGGCAGGCGGAAUUCCUGGUGUAGCGGUGAAAUGCGUAGAUAUCAGGAGGAACACCGGCGGUGUAGACGGCUUGCUAGACCAUACCUGACGCUGAGGCACGAGAGCGUGGGUAGCAAACA
rnacentral:rRNA from 1 species